AACGCACAUUGCGCCCCUUGGUAUUCCGGGGGGCAUGCCUGUUCGAGCGUCAUUUCAACCCUCCAGCUCUGCUGGGUCUUGGGCCACGCGGGUUCACGCCCGCCGGUCUUAAAAUCAGUGGCGGUGCCAUCGAGCUCUACGCGUAGUAAUUUUUUCUCGCGUCUGCAGCCUUGGUGUGUGCUUGCCAGCAACCCCCAAUUUUCUAUGGUUGACCUCGGAUCAGGUAGGGAUACCCGCUGAACUUAA
rnacentral:misc_RNA from 1 species